GAGGGUUUAUCCCUUAACUCAAGAACAUUGCUACAAAAUAGUCCACAAUCUCUCAGAAAGCUCAAAAAUGAAAUUCAUCCCAACUUGAGAUCCAAGCAGAAUACUUGACAUUAGUACACCAUUUUAAGAGGAAAUGACCCAUCCAAACUGAAGAGGACGUCUUUAAAAGUCCACAAAGUAUCUAAUGACCCAGAGCCCUUUGCUAUUGCACCCAUAUAUGCAAAUAGUUUGUACAAAAAUAAUAAUGCACUCUUUGAAUCCCAUGAUGUCAGAAAUGACAUUUGUGCUCAGUAAUAAAAUGUUGUCACGUUAUCUUGUUAAUCUUAAAUAAUAAUGCUGCUACUUAUCAAAGAAAAAGAAGCACAUCUAUAACCAAGAAUUUUAGGCACCACAAAAGAAAAAAUAAAAUAGUGAUGAUGGAGAUAAAGGAAGUAAAGAAAGGAACAUCUAGCAAGAAAAAAGUAGUCAAU
rnacentral:misc_RNA from 1 species